rnacentral:rRNA from 1 species
AUUGAACGCUAGCGGGAUGCCUUACACAUGCAAGUCGAACGGCAGCACGGACUUCGGUCUGGUGGCGAGUGGCGAACGGGUGAGUAAUGUAUCGGAACGUGCCUAGUAGCGGGGGAUAACUACGCGAAAGCGUAGCUAAUACCGCAUACGCCCUACGGGGGAAAGCAGGGGAUCGCAAGACCUUGCACUAUUAGAGCGGCCGAUAUCGGAUUAGCUAGUUGGUGGGGUAACGGCUCACCAAGGCGACGAUCCGUAGCUGGUUUGAGAGGACGACCAGCCACACUGGGACUGAGACACGGCCCAGACUCCUACGGGAGGCAGCAGUGGGGAAUUUUGGACAAUGGGGGAAACCCUGAUCCAGCCAUCCCGCGUGUGCGAUGAAGGCCUUCGGGUUGUAAAGCACUUUUGGCAGGAAAGAAACGUCAUGGGUUAAUACCCCGUGAAACUGACGGUACCUGCAGAAUAAGCACCGGCUAACUACGUGCCAGCAGCCGCGGUAAUACGUAGGGUGCAAGCGUUAAUCGGAAUUACUGGGCGUAAAGCGUGCGCAGGCGGUUCGGAAAGAAAGAUGUGAAAUCCCAGAGCUUAACUUUGGAACUGCAUUUUUAACUACCGAGCUAGAGUGUGUCAGAGGGAGGCGGAAUUCCGCGUGUAGCAGUGAAAUGCGUAGAUAUGCGGAGGAACACCGAUGGCGAAGGCAGCCUCCUGGGAUAACACUGACGCUCAUGCACGAAAGCGUGGGGAGCAAACAGG